AGUGAACGCUGGCGGCAGGCCUAAUACAUGCAAGUCGAACGGCAGCACAGCAGAGCCUGCUCUGUGGGUGGCGAGUGGCGGACGGGUGAGGAAUACGUGGGAAUCUGCCCAGUCGUGGGGAUAACGUAGGGAAACUUACGCUAAUACCGCAUGCGCCUUCGGGGGAAAGCCGGGGACCUUCGGGCCUGGCGCGAUUGGAUGAGCCCACGUCGGAUUAGCUAGUUGGCGGGUAAAGCCCACCAAGGCGACGAUCCGUAGCUGGUCUGAGAGGAUGAUCAGCCACACUGGAACUGAGACACGGUCCAGACUCCUACGGGAGGCAGCAGUAGGGAAUAUUGGACAAUGGGCGCAAGCCUGAUCCAGCCAUGCCGCGUGAGUGAAGAAGG
rnacentral:rRNA from 1 species